rnacentral:rRNA from 1 species
AGAGUUUGAUCAUGGCUCAGAAUCAACGCUGGCGGCGCGCCUAACACAUGCAAGUCGAACGAGAAAGCGGGGGCAACUCCGUGAGUAAAGUGGCGUACGGGUGAGUAACACGUGGAUUAUCUGCCCUGGAGUGGGGAAUAACGCUGGGAAACCGGCGCUAAUACCGCAUAUACCCGAGAGGGGAAAGCAGCAAUGCGCUCGAGGAGGAGUCCGCGGCCGAUUAGCUAGUUGGCAGGGUAAAAGCCUACCAAGGCAGUGAUCGGUAGCCGGCCUGAGAGGGCACACGGCCACACUGGCACUGAAACACGGGCCAGACUCCUACGGGAGGCAGCAGUGGGGAAUCUUGCACAAUGGGGGAAACCCUGAUGCAGCGACGCCGCGUGAGCGAUGAAGCCCUUCGGGGUGUAAAGCUCUUUCGGCAGGGAAGAUUAUGACGGUACCUGCAGAAGCAGCUGCGGCUAACUACGUGCCAGCAGCCGCGGUAAUACGUAGGCAGCAAGCGUUGUUCGGAGUUACUGGGCGUAAAGGGUGUGUAGGCGGCCUGUUAAGUUCCGUGUGAAAUCUCCCGGCUCAACCGGGAGGGUGCGCGGAAUACUGACGGGCUAGAGUGCGGGAUGGGAGAGUAGAAUUCCUGGUGUAGCGGUGAAAUGCGUAGAUAUCAGGAGGAAUACCGGUGGUGUAGACGGCUCUCUGGACCGCAACUGACGCUGAAACACGAAAGCGUGGGUAGCAAACAGGAUUAGAUACCCUGGUAGUCCACGCCCUAAACGAUGCAUAUUUGGUGUAGGUCAUUCAGUUGAUCUGUGCCGGAGCUAACGCGUUAAAUAUGCCGCCUGGGGAGUACAGUCGCAAGGCUGAAACUUCAAAGGAAUUGACGGGGGGCCCGCACAAGCCGGUGGAGCAUGUGGGUUCAAGUUCGACGCAACGCCGAAAAAACUUUACCUGGGGCUCGAAACGGCUGGGUCAACCG